rnacentral:rRNA from 1 species
GCAAGUCGAGCGGCAGCACAGGUACUUGUACCGGGUGGCGAGCGGCGGACGGGUGAGUAAUGCCUAGGAAUCUGCCUGGUAGUGGGGGAUAACGCUCGGAAACGGACGCUAAUACCGCAUACGUCCUACGGGAGAAAGCAGGGGACCUUCGGGCCUUGCGCUAUCAGAUGAGCCUAGGUCGGAUUAGCUAGUUGGUGGGGUAAUGGCUCACCAAGGCGACGAUCCGUAACUGGUCUGAGAGGAUGAUCAGUCACACUGGAACUGAGACACGGUCCAGACUCCUACGGGAGGCAGCAGUGGGGAAUAUUGGACAAUGGGCGAAAGCCUGAUCCAGCCAUGCCGCGUGUGUGAAGAAGGUCUUCGGAUUGUAAAGCACUUUAAGUUGGGAGGAAGGGCAGUUGCUUAAUACGUGACUGUUUUGACGUUACCGACAGAAUAAGCACCGGCUAACUCUGUGCCAGCAGCCGCGGUAAUACAGAGGGUGCAAGCGUUAAUCGGAAUUACUGGGCGUAAAGCGCGCGUAGGUGGUUUGUUAAGUUGAAUGUGAAAUCCCCGGGCUCAACCUGGGAACUGCAUCCAAAACUGGCAAGCUAGAGUAUGGUAGAGGGUGGUGGAAUUUCCUGUGUAGCGGUGAAAUGCGUAGAUAUAGG